AAUGUGGAACUGAGGAAAGCGAAGAA
rnacentral:piRNA from 1 species